rnacentral:rRNA from 1 species
GGGAGUGAGACGAGCGGGGUAAGAGUAGGCGACGGUGUCGGAGCGGGUCGGCGGUGCCUCCGACGAAGUUAGAGAGCACUGCGGAGCCAGGUGUACGGGAAGGAAGGAGGGGAGGAGUGACGAGUGGAAGUGGCCACGACCACCUAGAGUGGCGCGCGCAAGAGCCGACACGGCCUCACCUGUGAAGUCGUGAGCGAGGCGCCGAUAUAACUCCUCUAGUUUAACUACCUAGCUCCCCCGUCCUGCGCCGCCGUCCCUACCUACACGGCCGCUACCACUGCGACGACCCCUAAGCUGCGGUUGUCCAGCGCAGCGCCGAGCUGCAAGGGCUGCCGACGGGUGCCGCGUGUCCAGCGGGCGCGGGGGCAGCCCGAGGAUCUGGCGGUGUUGCCGCCUUACCGGGGCGGAGGCAGCUGACCACAUUAAACCUGUCCUCGUUCACGCGGUUAGUUAAGACUACGCCACUCUACGUGUCCCUCUCCGGACGUAGCCGUUCCGAUCGUCCUCCGGCAGGAGACCUCCAGACGCGGUGCUGCGGCAUAGAAGUGGUUCCUCAAGCCUCCGCUACGUCGUCACCACUUCCGCUACCAACACGACCCACGUCCGUCCACGUCUGCCCCACUUAACUCAAGUCUAGGUACUUGUUUACUAACACUAAAACAUCGACGUCACCACGAUAAGAAAUAAUAAUGAACUGAACAUACGAAGACGCGAGUGAUACGGACGUUUGUCUUCGUGUGCUAAAACCUACAGGACUUCGCGUAUGUUAAAACCUACAGGACUUCGCGUAUGUGUGCCAAAACAAACUGAACCCACAACUUUGACGGGAAAACAGUAUUGUAACUAUGUCACACUACGGAUACCCUUCUUCACCACGAAACUCUCUUAUCCAAUGACUUCACGUCAGUGCACGUAACCGAAAGAGUACACCCAACCCGGAGUAUGAAAAGACACUUUCGUUAGUGUAAUCCUCAUUUGACAAGUACGCUACCGACAUACUCUACACUACGGACAUACUCUACGCUACUACAUACUCUACGCUACCGACAUAGUUUAUUAUGGAUAUAGAGCAGCCGCAGAGGAGCGGUCCUAGUCGGGGCCUAGGACCUGCACAAGUCGCGGCCUAGGACAUGCACAGGCUACCUCCCGCCGUUCACUUCGCGGAAACUACACGCUCCGGCCGCCGCUUCCCUACCUCGCCGCCGCCGCCGCUUGCUCCCGUCUAUCAGCACGCACGCUCACCAAGAGCGAGCUCCCGUCCUCUGGAGCGAGCAUGCUCGCCAGUUAACCAAAUCCAGAAAAAACGACCAAUUAAAAACAUCCAAAAAAAAAGCGACCAAUUAAAAGCAUCUAAAAAAAUGAAACAAGCAGAACCCACGCUAGCCUCCAAUUCGGGACCUCACGGACCCCCGCCCACCCCCGGAGCCAUGUUCCAUAAAAAGCCAAGAACCACCGAAUCACACUCCACCCUCCUCCAUAUUUUUUUUGGUACCCUCCACCCUCCUUUCUUUUGGACCUUCGCUCUGAUAGUUAACGAAGUAAUCCUCAUCUCUAUUUUCGGAAACGGUACGAAUGGAACGUUCAUAUAUACAACGACAAACUUUUGUCUUUCAAAUGGCAACGACGUUUUUAAGGGAUCUCUUCAAUCUUACACUAUUUUACAACCUUGAAAAACGUAUUAUUCGAAGCUAUUUAAAGAUGUCACACCAUCUUAAAAUAUUACAAACCUCUUUUUAUUCAUAACUAUGAGAACGUAAGAAAUAUCUGACAUGACAAAACCGUCUAACGACGAUACUAACGUAACGAACGUACUAUCCUCAUAAUUUAUACAUCUCUAUAAAUCAUACGUUACAACUUAUUAUUAAAAUCACUAAACGAUGGCAUCUCUUACUAUUCCAAAAAAACGUAAUCAAAUAUAAUUGAAUAGAGUGCUCAAGAACAACUCAAAACACACCUACUUCAAAAAGUCUAAAUCCUUUUGGCACUAUAUUCUUAAUUCCUCUGUGUUUUCGAGUUCGAACCCCUACGGGUUACGUAGAGUUCUAUUAUAAAGUUCUUCAGAGUUCGUAGAUUCGAAACCCUACAGGGCCGAAGGCUGAAAGUGGUACGGAGGGUUUCGAGGAUUUCGUGGGUAGUGAACGUUAACCUACUCCAGGUUGCAGUGGCUGCUCUGGAAUUGCCUAAAGUACUUCAGUCCAAUGGACGGAUUUUUCCUGCAGUACAGGAUGGCACGGGGACUGGGCAGUCUCCUCUCUGGUGUCGGUUUCCUGCCCCUCCAUCACUAAAAACGCCUAGUGUACUCGGCCCCGAAGCGUGGCGAGCCGAGUUUCAAGAAGUCUCUACAUGACUUAAAGAAGCUGGACGCCGGAGUUCUGUAUCCUGGGUUGAGCCACAGUUUGUAUACGUUAAAGGUUCACAAGACACUCCAGAUGGAACCUCUUCUUGGGUCGAACGACGAGAAGUCUCUCGAGAAGAUGGACUUGGCAGUCUUGCUCACACGGUUGCCCGGUUCGAACCUUGAACCACCGUAGAGAUAGGUCGCUGCCUCCCUGACGGAAAAGGGAAUGCGGCUCGGCGGUUCGGUGGGGUUUCUGACCUUGGUCUGUACCAAGAUAACGGUUCUGUGCAGCGGCCGACUACUCUCGGGCGACGGGCCGAAAGCGGGGAGCGCAGACCUUGGUUGUGUGGGAGGCAGUCUGUUCGAUUGAGUUCGCCUCGCGGUUGGAGAUGAGGGGUGGUAAUUGUUCUAGUUCCGAGAGGACCCGUUACCAGAGUUGCCUUAACUGGAAUAGGCCCAGGCCUAGAGCACCGCCCACUAGGGUAACUCGGCGGCGGGGCCGAAUUACACACUCAUGUGCCCGGCUUUCCUACUAGGGGACUCUGUGUCGGCGUUGCUAGAAGGACUUCUGCAACGACUCCUGUACUGGUUCCGAGAAAACUUGCUCUCGAACCGUCUGACGCCCUCCUGGCCCGAUCGGGGGAAGACGUUCUGGUUGGGUCGGGGUCGCCGACUACUGUUUAAGACCUUCCAGUUUAUACUGGUACUCCGCCGGUUCUUCCGGUCCUUUCGGUUCUUUCGGCGGUUCUCUCGGCGAGGGGCGUUCUUCCCUUCGUCCGGAUGACGAAGUCUCGAUGACGUUGAUUCGCUGUCGAGGCUCAGUCUCCUACUAUGGCCUCGUUCGUUGGACCACCAACUUCUCUGAGUACUUUCGGCCACCGUGUGGGCCUGGUUGUUCCUGCGACUGGAGAGGAGGCCAAAUGGACUGCGCAGCUCCUUUGCGGCCUGGCUCCUUUGAAGGGGGAGAAGACCGCUGAGAUACCUCAGCUUGGACGGCCGAAAGUUCUGGCACGGGCCACGGGUCCGUUUUGAGUCGUUUUCCCGCUUCUUCUUGUUCGGCCAGCUUCUCGGCCUGAACGGACUUGGCCUCCAUCGGCGAGUUCUUGGCGGUCGACGGAGACGAGGACUUCGGUGACGAGGUUGGCUGUUCGGUUAUCGUCUUCGAAGACGAUUGGGCCUCCGGAGGUCGAGCCGAGUUGGUCGUCUACUGGGUCUACACCAUUAGUGGGCCUGCCUUAAACAACUCGGCCCCUCUGGAUGACGCGACCGGUUCACGAGGCGAUUCCUCCUCGACAAUCCCGCGGUGGCCCGGUUGGACCUGGACAGGCUGAUACGGUUAGACUCGUAGCUUCUCUAGUAGAAGCCGAUAUAGUCGGUCCACGUGUUCUCGGCCCUAGAUCUCUAACGGUACCACUUGGUCUAAGUCGUCUUCACUCUCCGACGACCGUUCUUCAAACUUCGACUGUAGCGGCUAGAGUUCUGGGCAGACUUCUGCGUUCUUUGACUCUGGGCCUUUCGGUUACGGUUUAAGCACAGGUCAUAACGACGCGUUCUUUUCGACUUCUGCCUGAAACUGCGACUUGCCUUCCGAACCCGGCUUCUUUUCCGGCGAGACCACUUGGCCCGACUUGUCCGCCUCUUCCGAGACUGUCUCUUCUGGCGGCUUGAGAGGCCGAAUUUCGCGGUUCACAGGGUCUACCAACGGCGUUAGAAGCCAGGGUCUUCGCGGUUGGAGUUGGUUUCACACCACUGGUUCGACUUCCGGCACAUAUGGGACCACCUCGUUGAGAUGUGGCCCAGUGUCGCACGGAACCGCCACCACCGGGAUAGGUUACUCCACGGCUGAGUGGACCGCCUUCACGAAGCGGCCGAACGGCAAGAAGGGGUUACACAGGUUCUCGACGCCGCCCGGAGACGUUCUCGGCCUCGAUAGCGGCGAGACUCGGCCCGGUUCCGCAAGGAAGAUCUCAAUCUGGGCCGUCUGUAACGGGAGCCGAUAGGGUCAAACUUCCUUCUGCCGUGUGGGAAGCUGGUUUCCCUGAAGCGUCGGACGCACUUCUAGCACGCGGGCCACCGGUGGGAAUAACCUUUGCUGUGUCUGGACUGGUUCAUGGUCGGCCCAAUGUUACGUCUUUUAGUCUCCUAGGGGUGAGGCGUAAUACUUCGAUAGUCGAAUCAGGGCGGCCGAGCAUUCGUGUGAAAGCGGGGCCUCUAACUGGGCCGGCCCAAUUAACUGCUUCUCCGAGUUAAACUUCGGGACUCGCCGUAACUGACCUUCAGCAGUUGAAAGGUCCAGAACCCUUGUCGGCCUCCUCUCCUCUCCCUACUCGGCCUCUGAAGUUGAGUCGUUCGGAGCAUUGAGACGUCUGCCGAAUAAUUUGUUACGAAGUGGGGAAAACCUGAGCUACUCAGAACAUUAUCUCAUCCUGGUUGUGAAAUUGAAACGGCACGGUAGCACGUGCGCAACUUACGACUUCAGGUAAAUUUAACA